ACAUCUUUAGAAUAUAAAGAAACGAGGCCAGAAGGUGCAUUUAAAAGAAGCCGGGUUGGACUGGAGAACUCAUACCUUUCUCGGCCUUUUGGCUAAGAUCAAGUGUAGUAUCUGUUCUUAUCAGUUUAAUAUCUGAUACGUGGGUCAAUGGCCCACACGAUAUUAAAUUUAUUUUUUGAGGGGGAGGGCUCACUACAGUAGCUUGCUACUGGUGCCCUCGAGCGUUGCCCAAGUGUUGCACUAUUGCUUAGGCCUGGCGCACCCCACCCAAUUCCAGUUCUAAUGAUUUUUAAGGUUUAAUUGCAGGCCCUAUGACAAGAAGUAUGGCACCAUUCAAAAAUAAAUUGAAGCUUUGGACGAGAUGGGCAUGCAUAUAUAAUAAUAGAAACGAUGCAAAGGAACAACUCAACAAGACUAAAGAUCAAAUUUCUUCGACACGAGCUAACUAAUCAAUGCAAAACAAUAAGAGACAGUAGUGUGAGAUGUGCAUCUGCAUCGACAAAGUGGAUGCUUUAAGAUGUGACGAAUAAAUAAAUAAAAUGUUCUCUCUGAUGUGAGAACUUCUGGUAAUCCCAACUCAUUUUAUUUAAUCUGUAACUUCUGGGAAUCUUGACGGGACCAAAUAAUCCAAAAACAACUGAAACGUGAUUGUAAUGAUAUUAACAAAAACAUCAGAACUUACAAUCAGCUAACUUCAAGAUUUGUCGAUAUCACAGUGAAACCAAAACAAGCUCAACACAACUUAUUGAUAAAGUUAUCAAAUCCACUGCAA